rnacentral:sRNA from 1 species
AGCAAGACUGUCCAAAUGGCCGUUUAACACCAGCCAAAUUUGUGGACAUGUACAAAAUGUUCUUUCCAAGCGGUAAUGCCGAAGAAUUCUGCGAUCACGUAUUUCGGACAUUUGAUAUGGAUAAAAAUGGUUACAUAGACUUCAAAGAGUUUCUAUUAGCCAUAGACGUCACAUCGUCCGGUACGCCGGAGGAAAAACUAAAAUGGGCAUUCAGAAUGUAUGACGUGGACGGCAACGGAGUCAUCGAUAUUCAAGAGAUGACGAAAAUCGUUCAGGCCAUCUACGAUAUGUUGGGUGCAUGUUCAUCUAAUCGUCCAGCUGACUCGGCAGAAGAUCGGGCUAAAAAUAUAUUCGCCAAAAUGGAUGAGAAUAAUGACGGACAGUUGACCCAGGACGAAUUCCUUAAAGGCUGUUUACAGGACGAAGAGCUAUCCAAGAUGCUCGCACCAUAACCACUGCCACGGCUGGCGUGAAAGCCCAAUAUAAUAUUAUAUUUCGCCGCAUUUUUUUGUAUAUCUUUUUCUCUCGCCCCGUAGGGUACGCCUUUAUCGGUGCCAAAAAAAACAAAACAAAACAAGUCAACCCGUUUUUUCUACAAAAAAAAAUUGAAUCCAAAAAAAAAAA